rnacentral:rRNA from 1 species
CGGAUGAACGCUGGCGGCGUGCCUAACACAUGCAAGUCGAGCGUGAACCCUGCGAAUGAAACUUCGGUCGAUUUUGCAGGGGGAAAGCGGCGGACGGGUGAGUAAUACAUGAGCAACCUGCCUUAAAGAGGGGGAUAACACUGGGAAACCGGUGCUAAUACCGCAUGACGCAUAGAGGAGGCAUCUCCUUUAUGCCAAAGGAGCAAUCCGCUUUAAGAUGGGCUCAUGUCUGAUUAGAUAGUUGGUAGGGUAACGGCCUACCAAGUCUACGAUCAGUAGCCGGACUGAGAGGUCGGACGGCCACAUUGGAACUGAGAUACGGUCCAGACUCCUACGGGAGGCAGCAGUGGGGAAUAUUGGGCAAUGGGCGAAAGCCUGACCCAGCGACGCCGCGUGAGGGAAGAAGGUCUUCGGAUUGUAAACCUCUGUUGACAGGGACGAAGGAAGUGACGGUACCUGUUGAGGAAGCCACGGCUAACUACGUG